UUUACAGUCUCUGCACUGGCUACUUAUUAAGUUCCGUAUCAGUUACAAAUUAUCAUUACUUACCUAUAAGGCUCUAAAUGGUUUAGCUCCUGCGUACCUUACUAGCCUUCUACCACGUGAAGACAUAUAUGAAGAUAUAUAUGUCGUUCAGGUGAAGGGUAAGGAAAGGUAUGAAAUAUUGAAGAAAAUAAACAACAGUUUGGAACUUAGCGACGUUAUGCCUCCAUGUGACUUGGACAAAUGCAGACAGAAACUGAGUCUAUCGGCUCAAACAAGUCUGUAUUUUCACUUCCCAGUCCAAUCAGAACCUGUGGAGGUGUGCGUACAACAGCCAGGCAACUUAAAACUAAGAAACAACAGGAAUGGUAAAAGAUGGAUGUGUCUGCUUUUACUUCCAUGUCACAAAGUCUAAAAGACCAUGCAGGUUCUGGAGCUUUCUGAGGGACCUUUUUGGGCUAAUGAAGCAGAUGUUGGUGAGAUGGAUAGCGGCGUGGAUUUAAGUCUGGACGAAAAUGGCAUUUUAUGGCUAGAGCCACUCUCAAAUGUCAGUCAUAUAACUGCAUUCACAGAACUUUCAGAGGAACACAGUGACGGCGUGCCCUCGGAGACCGUCUCAGCCUAACGCACCGGGCGCAGGAACAUGAUGUCAUAGCCAGGUAUGCUCACACACUGUAUGCCUGUCAUCAUACCUAAUAUUGUAUAUAUUCGUAAAAAAAUUUUUGUACAGGCAUUUUAGUAAAUUUAUGUUCAUGCAGUCGGCCCCUAGGUCCUCACGCACCAUCCAGUCCAAAGUUUUGAUCCUGACGUCACUGUAACAUCGAUCAUCUGUGCUCCACGCUGUGUUCAAUGGUAACGGACUCCUUGUGUUCAAUGGUAAUGAACUCCUUUUGUAGUUCCCCUGUAUGUUCCAGGUACAGGUGUAACAUUGUCGGCAGGGUGUGGCCGUAUGAUGGACAACAGACAACUCUCCUGCCUGCCUGAUGAAUACAGCGAUGUGAACCACAGAUAAAACAAGUUGACGAAAGCAUUUAUGGCAAGUAUUCCAGACCCACAUGUAUUUGAUGAAUGAGGUUCUUCUUGUUCUGCCCAUAUUUCAGGACUUGAAGAAGACUUCAGGGGUCUUCUACUUUCAGUUUUGGCCUGACUACGCCUGCUCAGCAACGUGCACGACUGCUUCAACAAAAGCAUCCACAGCAGUCGUAGGAAAUGGCAUUGACGUCGACAAAUGGGACUAUUUUGCUAGGGAUUGCUAUCAUCUGGGAUUUUUUUUCUGUCUAGGGCAAAAACCUCUAUAUGAAUGAAUAUGUUUGUGCAGUGCAACACAACACAAUGGCCACACACCAGGGUGUGGACACUUCCAUGCUCCGUAGCGCCAUCUGACGUCACUGCAACAUCGAUCAUCUGUGCUCCACGCUGUGUUCAAUGGUAACGGACCGUCAGUGUGUUUUUUAAUUCAGCUAUGCUGCCAGAUCCUGAAGGCAGACUACAGAAAAGCCAGUUGGCCAGGUAAAGCAGUCUAAAAGACCAUGCAGGUUCUGGAGCUUUCUGAGGGACCUUUUUGGGCUAAUGAAGCAGAUUUUGGUGAGAUGGAUAGCGGCGUGGAUUUAAGUCUUGAUGAAAAUGGCAUUUUAUGGCUAGAGCCACUCUCAAAUGUCAGUCAUAUAACUGCAUUCACAGAACUUUCAGAGGAACACAGUGACGGCCUGCCCUCGGAGACCGUCUCAGCCUAACACACCGGGUGUAGGACAGACGUUCUGUCUGGCCACACAACCAGGUAUGAAUAUAGUUCUAUUGUUUCCAAGGCAUCAAAUUCUUGAAUGGUCACUGCUUACAGGAAAUAAGUGAUUGGACAUGCAAAACUAUGCCAAUUUUAACCUCAAUAUAAGGACAAGUCCUGGCCCAUGGACCUGACGGACCUCAGCCAAACUGCCAUGCUUUAGGUAAUUAGAAUUUUAUUCAUUUGGACUCACAGUUCUGAUGAUGAAAUCUACAUUCUGCAUGUAAGUGGCAAAGAGCGUUUUAGAUUUCUUUCUCUGUGGGUCCCUGUGAAUCAGCUCUUGGGCCUCUGUGCAUCAGCUCAGCCAGCCACACAGCAGAAAGAGGAGGCGCACCAGCCCAUGUGCUUAAAGCACUACUGGUCCCAGAAGAUAGCAGAGCUUCCUUGACCCAUCCAGCAUCCAGGUGAGUCUUUAGAAAUGAAACAAUUCAUUCUAACACAAUGUCUGGUUUUCAGUGAGUCGGAGAAGAGAGUGACUGAUAAGAAGCCAACAGGAACGGUGUCGCCUCCGACAGGAAGUCCCACUCCAGAGCUCCGCCCUCAUCAGUGCAACACAACACAAUGGCCAGACACCUGGGUGUGGACACUUCCAUGCUCCGUAGAGCCAUCUGGAACUAUAUUCAGGGCAAGUUUGGGAUUCGGUCCAAGGCCAGGUGAAUCAUUAAAAAAAAGAAACACACUUCCACUUGUAUGUACGGAAUACGAUACGAUGACUACGGCUACAGCAGUGGGCGGUUUAACAUACGCUUCUGGCAUGUGUGCGCUGAGAUGCUGGACCAGAGGAGGACAGACAUGCUGUACGGACAUGCCGUCUCUCCACUACUCACAGUUUGCAUUCAUGCUGUCAAUGUACCAAGACCAGGCAAUCUGAACAAGUUGGUCUGAAAACGGUGUAUCCGGAGUGUAAAAGGGAUCGACAAGUAAAUGGACAAAUCCACAACAAUGUUAGCCAUGCCCAGUAAAUCUGCAUUCAUGCUGUCAACAUACCAGACUGGCCCUGUGGCGAUUGUAACUGAGAACGGAAUGUUCCUGCUUCAUGGAUUAGUCCACUUGACUAUUUCAGGGAAUGCCAUUUUAACCACAAAAUAAUAUUAAUCGUCUUUACUCCACUCCUUCCUGUAUUUCCUCAGCUCUUUUACUUCCUUCUCUAACUGAGUUUUCUCCUGCUCCAAGCUGUCCAACUUACUUAUCAGUUAAUUGCAUUCUGUGUUGCGCUUGUCCAGCUCCCUUAGAAGAAAGUCUACUUGAAGAGCCAUUUCAUCAUCUACAUUUUCAAAAUCAUUUGUUGUUGAUUUGUGUGUGUGAUUAUUUCUGCAGUGUUACAGUCCUAAAGUACAUUUAUGUUGAUGCAGACGGCCCCUAUUUGUCAGAAGGGAGUUGGUGAAGUUGAUGGUCGAUCAGUAGCUGUGGUUGUGGCCCCCACGCACCAUCCAGUUUAAAGUUCUGAUACUGACGCCACUUUGUAACAUCGACCAUCUGUGCUCAACCCUAUGCUCGAUGGUGACGGGUCGUCACUGUGUUUUUUUAUGAAGGUAUGCUGCCACAUCCUGAAAGCAGAAAAGCCAGUUGCCCAGGGAAAGCAGGGAAAGACUUAUUUAUUUUUAAACUCACUGGAUCAUUAUGAUAAUAUCUACUUUGUACAGGUCUGUCGGAAAGGGCGUUUUGAGAUGCUUAAAGGGUAAACUAAUUCCUAUUAUCCAGGAAAGCCGUUCGCCCAGGGAAACUAGGUAUGAUUUUGGACAAAGCAUUUAUGUGGCUCUUUGCAUCAACUCCAGUUGCCCAGAGCCACAGAAGAAAGAGGAGGCGCACAAGUCCAUGUGGUGAAAGCGCUACUGGUCUCAGUAGAGAGCAGUGACCCGUCCUGCACCACCAUGUAAACAGUGGACCAGGAAAGCAAGAAGGCCAAGCUGAGCAUCAGUAGCGAUAAGGAGAUCUAUAUCGUGCAGGUAAGGAAAGGACUUUCAGAGGAACACAGUGACGGCGUGCCCUCGGAGACCGUCUCAGCCUAACACACCGGGUGUAGGACAGACGUGCUGUCUGGCCACACAACCAGGACAAGUCCUGGCCCACGGACCUGACGGACCUCAGCCAAACUGCCAUGCUUUAGCUCAGCCAGCCACACAGCAGAAAGAGGAGGCGCACCAGCCCAUGUGCUUAAAGCACUACUGGUCCCAGGAGAUAGCAGAGCUUCCUCGACCCAUCCAGCAUCCAGGUGAGUCUUUAGAAAUGAAACAAUUCAUUCUAACACAAUGUCUGAUUUUCAGUGAGUCGGAGAAGAGAGCUACUGACAAGAAGCCAACAGGAAAGGUGUCUCCUCCGACAGGAAGUCCCACUCCAGAGCUCCGCCCUCAUCAGUGCAACACAGCACAAUGGCCAGACACCUGGGUGUGGACACUUCCAUGCUCCGUAGAGCCAUCUGGAACUAUAUUCAGGGCAAGUUUGGGAUUCGGUAAGUCUCUUCACUGCUCACAGUUUCAGAAAUAUGUAGCAACAUUGAAUACGUUUAUUCAUUCUACAAAGAACCUUUUAAAAUGCGGAAGAUGUCUCCGAGACUCCCCCGGAGCCUUCACAUAAGCACCAGCGGGAGAUCAGCGGGUGAAUCAUUAAAAAAAAGAAACACACUUCCACUUGUAUGUAUGGAAUAAGGUAUGAUGACUACGGCUACAGUGGGGAAUAAUAAUCGAUACAGAUUUAGAUCGCAAAAUAAUUCCUUGCAUCUCUAUAAGAAGCAGAGCUCACAGACUUGUCUUUGUUUUACAGAUUUAGAUCGUAAAAUAAUUUCUUGCAACUCUAUAAGAAGCAGAGCUCACAGAAUUGUCUUUGUUUUACAGAUUUAGAUCGUAAAAUAAUUUCUUGCAACUCUAUAAGAAGCAGAGCUCACAGACUUGUCUUGGUUUUACAGAUUUAGAUCGUAAAAUAAUUUCUUGCAACUCUAUAAGCAGCAGAGGUCACAGAGUUGUUUUUGUUUUCCAGCGGUUUAACAUACGCUUCUGGCAUGUGUGCGCCGAGAUGCUGGACCAGAGGAGGACAGACAUGCUGUACGGACAUGCCGUCUCUCCACUACUCACAGUUUGCAUUCAUGCUGUCAAUGUACCAGACCAGGCAAUCUGAACAAGUUGGUCUGAAAACGGUGUAUCCGGAGUGUAAAAGGGAUCGACAAGUAUAUGGACAAAUCCAGAACAAUGUUAGCCAUGCCCAGUAAAUCUGCAUUCAUGCUGUCAACAUACCAGACUGGCCCUGUGGCGAUUGUAACUGAGAACGGAAUGUUCCUGCUACACGGAUUAGUCCACUUGACUAUUUCAGGGAAUGCCAUUUUAACCACAAAAUAAUAUUAAUCGUUUUACUCCACUCCUCCCUGUAUUUCCUCAGCUCUUUUACUUCCUUCUGUAACUGAGUUUUCUCCUGCUCCAAGCUGUCCAACUUACUUAUCAGUUAAUUGCAUUCUGUGAUGCGAUGGAUGUGUCAGAUUUUACUUCCAUAUCACAAAGCUAUGGAAUGCUUUUUUUUGGGUUCUUAAUUUUUGACAUGUAGUUAUUUUUCCUUUUUGCAGCAUCCCCUGCUGACUCAACAUUUUUAUUGUUACUAUUAUCUGUUUAGUUGUUUAUUAGUAUUGAGUAAUUGUUUAAGGUUAUAUGGUUGACAUGUUCUGUUCUUUUUACCCACAUAUCGAUUGAAAUUUUAAUUACUUACUCCUCCCUUGUUCCUUUUCUUUUUUUUUGUUCACAGUCUCCACAAGUUUUGUUGUAUAUAGUUCUUUUGGGGUUUCUGGUAUUCUUAAAUAUCUCGCCUAGUCGAGGAGUGGCCUUGAAAAUAUUUUGGUGGUGGAUAAUGACAGUGAUUUGGGAAUGAAAAGUGUUGGGAACUCUUUUCUUGUAAUCAAGAAAAAUUUGAUCAUUUACCUAAUUAAAAAAAUAUAUGUUUUACCAAUAACUCUAUUCGUAUCUUGUAUAAAAAAAAUUAUUUAAAAAAAAAAGUG